GAUUAAACACAUCAUAUUAUAGAGAAUUCACUUUUCUCCAAUUCUUGAUAUUAUUCCUCUCUUUCCCAUAGCUUUUGAAGCCAUGAAUCACAAAACACUCUCUUUAUUAUUCAUAGUCGUUUUUGUCUUAAUUUGUUAUCUGUCCUCAACAACGGCCUCUCGAAGAUUAUUAUCAGGUCAUGGAGGCAGCAAAAUGGAAAUGCGACCCCAUAAAUCACCUCCAGAUGCUGGAACUAUUGAAGCUAUCGUUCAUUACAAAAACUAGGGAUAUGCAAAGAGGACUUGUAUGGCAAUUGUAUAAAACCAUCCAGUACUAUCCCAGAGACACUGCAGUUUUGCUGCUAGAUGUAAUCACACCCCACCCUAAAUUAAAUCCAUAACUCGUUUUAAUUACUGAUUCACAUUAAACGGUAAAGAAUAAACUUCAUUGUUUUUCCAAGCAAGGAAAAGAGUUUUGAAGAUUUAAAUAUAUAAUUAUGAUGUUUAUCGGCUUUAGUUUGUACUUGAUGUGUCCUAUUUCUAUAUAUUUAAUUAAAUUUUCAUGAAAAUAUGUUCAAAAGGAUAAACUUUAAGGUCAAUUAGUUUUUUCUUUUAACCUUUAAGGUU